rnacentral:tRNA from 1 species
GUAGCGCAUCAGACAUCACGGACGAUGAUAGGACGCACACUCCCUUGGUAAGGGAGAGGUCGAGAGUUCAAUCCUCUCCUGCAGCACCA